GCGCCUGUAGCUCAGCCGGAUAGAGCAUCUGCCUUCUAAGCAGGUUGUCGGGGGUUCGAAUCUCUCCAGGCGCGCCA
rnacentral:tRNA from 2 species